rnacentral:rRNA from 1 species
AUACGGAGGAUGCGAGCGUUAUCCGGAUUUAUUGGGUUUAAAGGGAGCGUAGGUGGAUUGUUAAGUCAGUUGUGAAAGUUUGCGGCUCAACCGUAAAAUUGCAGUUGAAACUGGCAGUCUUGAGUACAGUAGAGGUGGGCGGAAUUCGUGGUGUAGCGGUUAAAUGCUUAGAUAUCACGAAGAACUCCGAUUGCGAAGGCAGCUCACUAGACUGUUACUGACACUGAUGCUCGAAAGUGUGGGUAUCAAACAGGAUUAGAUACCCUGGUAGUCCACACAGUAAACGAUGAAUACUCGCUGUUUGCGAUAUACAGUAAGCGGCCAAGCGAAAGCAUUAAGUAUUCCACCUGGGGAGUACGCCGGCAACGGUGAAACUCAAAUGAAUUGGCGGGG